GCGGGUAUGGUUCAGUGGUAGAACGUGUCCUUCCCAAGGAUAAGGCAGGGUUUCGAUUACCCUUACCCGCA
rnacentral:tRNA from 1 species